AGUUCAUAACAAAAAAAAUGACAAGUCAACAACAUGUCCCAACACUUCAUCAGAAACACUAGAUAGCAAAAGGAAGACACUCAAAUAAUAAACCAAAGAUGUCAGAUCCAAAGCUUUUGGGAAGAAAAAUGUUACUACCAAACAAUACAUUUGAUCUCUCACAGCAUGCUUAAAAAGGAAAUCCAAGUCACCACACUUUGACAUGUUUAUGCCAAGUAAACAAAGUAUCCCCUUCAAGUUCAAGGUGUUGUUGCAUUCCAUAUCAUAUAAAGAAAACAAUAGAAAGUAAGACCCAUGACACUGAAGUAAAGAAAACCGAAUCAGGUUUACCACAAGCUGGAACAAGAAG